UUCGUCCCCAUUUUGCUUUUCGUAGUGGAUUCAAAGCUGACCUCUCCCCAUCAUGAAACAAGUCCGAAAUCGGUGGAUGAAAUCUAUUUGUCAAUGCCCCCAAGAGUCAAUUCGAAGAGUAACCACCAUGCCCCCCCCCCCUCCCCUCACUGGGCCCACUUGGUGGCCAUGCCCCAGGUGAGGUCAUGCACAAUUAGGAACAAAGUCGAGCUGGUAUGAGACCGCGUAGCUUGCAAGUUAAUUGUGACGGGACCGGGCCACUGGGG